rnacentral:rRNA from 1 species
UACGUAGGGUGCAAGCGUUGUCCGGAAUUAUUGGGCGUAAAGAGCGUGUAGGCGGCCCGAUUAGUCCGCUGUGAAAGUCCAGGGCUCAACCCUGGAAUGCCGGUGGAUACUAUCGGGCUAGAGUCCGGAAGGGGCGAGUGGAAUUCCUGGUGUAGCGGUGAAAUGCGCAGAUAUCAGGAGGAGCACCAAUGGCGAAGGCAGCUCGCUGGGACGUGACUGACGGCUGAGACGCGAAAGCUAGGGGAGCAAACGGG